AACGGCCGUACCAUGCUGAAUAUACCGGUUCUCGUUAGAUCACCGAAGUUAAGCAUCAUUGGGCGCGGUCAGUACUUGGGUGGGUGACCACCUGGGAACACUGCGUGCAGU